GACGAACGCUGGCGGCGUGCUUAACACAUGCAAGUCGAACGGAAAGGCUCCAGCUUGCUGGCGUACUCGAGUGGCGAACGGGUGAGUAACACGUGGGUAAUCUGCCCUGCACUCUGGGAUAAGCCUGGGAAACUGGGUCUAAUACUGGAUAUGACCUUUCUCCUUAUGGGGUUUGGUGGAAAGUUUUUCGGUGUAGGAUGAGCCCGCGGCCUAUCAGCUUGUUGGUGGGGUGAUGGCCUACCAAGGCGACGACGGGUAGCCGGCCUGAGAGGGUGAUCGGCCACAUUGGGACUGAGAUACGGCCCAGACUCCUACGGGAGGCAGCAGUGGGGAAUAUUGCACAAUGGGCGGAAGCCUGAUGCAGCGACGCCGCGUGAGGGAUGACGGCCCUCGGGUUGUAAACCUCUUUCAGCAGGGACGAAGCGUAAGUGACGGUACCUGCAGAAGAAGCACCGGCUAACUAUGUG
rnacentral:rRNA from 1 species